UCUGUUUAGAGAGGAGGCUUUGCAUAAUUGUGCUCUCAGUUACCAGCUGGGAACAAACCCAGAGCCCCCAGGGGUGGGCCAGAGCUGUCUUGCUCAACUUUCUCACUUUCAGUUUGUCCCAAUUAGAAGCACUUAUACAGGGAUUAUCCCUGAUUUUCACCUGGGCACUUCAGGGUCUAAUUUCUAUCAGGAAUAGCAGCUCUGGGCACGCUACACAUUCUGACCUCUUAAAGCUUGUUUUUAUUUCUUCUCUUUUUUCCCUGCAUAACUCUGGGUGAAGGUGUUCAGGAAUCUCCUCCUGACACCUUUCUUUCCAAAUCAAACACCCUCAGGACUUGCAGACCUUGCCAGGGUUGAUAAAUGCCUGAUCAUUUUGCUGCACUGUGAGCCAGCAGACUUGGGAGCAGAGGAAGAUCCCACAGGACUGGAAAAUUUCGCUUUUUGCUUAAGCCCAAGGUUUUGUCUGCGUCCCAUGAAGACAGAUGUUGUUCCAACUUCCACUGCCAGCUCAGUGGGUUAGACAUGAGCUUCCCUGGUGAAUAAAAAACAAGUUGGAAAAUUUUUAACCUGGGUUCCCAUUCCAGAGCAACUGCAGUAAGAUGAGUCAGGCACAGCAGCCACAGGAUAAUGAUGGAGAAUGUGUAUUUUAAUGAGCCCAUUGCAGAGCAGAUGCACUAAUAGCUUUCACAGCAUCUCACAGCGGUGUUCUUGUGAUGGCCAGGUGGCACAAGAGAUGCUCUGCAUUGAGCCCUGGCUUUCACCCCUGGGCAAGCAGUGCUGCCUGUGCUGUUGUUGGGGCAGAAAAGAACCUGCAACCCCUGCCCAGGAGAAUCUUCCCUCUGCGUCCAGCUCAGGGAUGCUCACAGACGCCUCUGGCUGCUGACUUUGCACAGCCUGGGUAUGUACAGCCCUAGCUGAAGCUGCUCUGCUCUUGGAUCCCUUCUGCAAGUACGGAAGCCCUCCUGCUAUAACAGGAACCUUCCUGACCCCCAUGUGGCAUUGGGGCUGGUUGAACUGGGUUCCCAGCCUUUAUUUGCCUGGGUUCAUGUAGUGGUGAGAGGCUGCAGCUUUGGGCUGUGUGAGCACUCAUGGCAGGAGAGCUGAGCUUUCCCCCCUGCCCCGGCUGGGCUCACGCACCCGGCGCUGCCCCCGCCGCACACAGCCCGCUCUGCCCGGACACGUGUAUCCAGCACAAACCCCCACCACUGCCCUACACACCUCAGGUCCAGGAGGGAUGAGGAAAUGGGCCUAGCCUCCCAUGGUUCAAUGGUCUUUGAAUGCAUUUACUUGUAAUUAGAGUAAGUUUUUAUAGGGACAGAGAUAUAAGGAACAACCAGUGCUCUGAGACCACGGAGGAGAAAACUGACACUUGUCCUGUAUUGGGACACCAUGGAGAUGAACUAAACUGCAGUGUUGAAGCAAAGCUGCAUGUCUCUGCAACCAAGGUGCUUUUCAUGUUAGCUGUUAGGAUUCAGCUCUACCAUCCUCUUUGAUUUCCUAAAUUCACAAUCAAGCAAAUGCUCUCCCAGACGUGGAUUGUUGGUGAGCAAAUAAAGGUUACACUGUAAUCAGCUGCUGUUACUGCAUGGGAUAAUGAGAUCCUGAUGUCCACACUCAGCUGGUCACUAAAAGUGUUCCUAGAGCCUACACACAAUUGUUGUAAUUGUGAUCUACCACUACCACAUUACCUGGUGACUUGGACUUGGUCCAUCCAUGUCAUAUAAGUCUCAGGCUUAUCCUUGCACCUGACCAUGCUGAUCCUUUUUCAUUUACUCACAAGCUCUCAGGUUUGAGAGUGGGAGAGCACCCAUGGGUGAAGUGCGGCUGGAAUUGACUGCACAUGCCGAAGGAUGAAGGAUGGAUGACAAACCACCAGGCACCUAGAGGGCUUUUUUUCCUCCGUGACACCUGACUGAAUAAAGCCAUACUGGACUGUGACAAA